rnacentral:tRNA from 1 species
GCGCUAGUAGCUCAGUUGGAUAGAGCACCGGACUUCUAAUCCGAUGGUCGGGGGUUCGAGUCCCUCCUGGCGCACCA